rnacentral:rRNA from 1 species
CAGUCGCCACGGGAAUACGUAGGGUGCAAGCGUUAAUCGGAAUUACUGGGCGUAAAGCGUGCGCAGGCGGCUUGUUAAGACAGAUGUGAAAUCCCUGGGCUUAACCUGGGAACUGCAUUUGUGACUGGCAAGCUAGAGUCUGGCAGAGGGGGGUGGAAUUCCGCGUGUAGCAGUGAAAUGCGUAGAUAUGCGGAGGAACACCGAUGGCGAAGGCAGCCCCCUGGGCCAACACUGACGCUCAUGCACGAAAGCGUGGGGAGCAAACAGGAUUAGAUACCCCCGUAGUCCCUGUCUCUUAUAC